GCACUGGUCGUCCAGCGGCAAGGAUCCCGCCUUCGUAACGCGGGGACGUGGGUUCGACUCCCACCCGGUGCU
rnacentral:tRNA from 1 species